AGCGAACGCUGGCGGCAGGCCUAACACAUGCAAGUCGAACGAACCUUUCGGGGUUAGUGGCGGACGGGUGAGUAACACGUGGGAACGUGCCUUUAGGUUCGGAAUAACUCAGGGAAACUUGUGCUAAUACCGAAUGUGCCCUUCGGGGGAAAGAUUUAUCGCCUUUGGAGCGGCCCGCGUCUGAUUAGCUAGUUGGUUGAGGUAAUGGCUCACCAAGGCGACGAUCAGUAGCUGGUCUGAGAGGAUGAUCAGCCACAUUGGGACUGAGACACGGCCCAAACUCCUACGGGAGGCAGCAGUGGGGAAUCCUGCGCAAUGGGCGAAAGCCUGACGCAGCCAUGCCGCGUGAAUGAUGAAGGUCUUAGGAUUGUAAAAUUCUUUCACCGGGGACGAUAAUGACGGUACCCGGAGAAGAAGCCCCGGCUAACUUCGUG
rnacentral:rRNA from 1 species